rnacentral:rRNA from 1 species
UACGUAGGGUGCGAGCGUUAAUCGGAAUUACUGGGCGUAAAGAGCUCGUAGGCGGUCUGUCGCGUCGGCUGUGAAAUCCCGAGGCUCAACCUCGGGUCUGCAGUCGAUACGGGCAAACUAGAGUAUUGCAGGGGAGACUGGAAUUCCUGGUGUAGCGGUGAAAUGCGCAGAUAUCAGGAGGAACACCGGUGGCGAAGGCGGGUCUCUGGGCAAUAACUGACGCUGAGGAGCGAAAGCGUGGGGAGCGAACAGG